UCGACUCCACGGACGUCGCUGGUGACAC
rnacentral:sRNA from 1 species